GAAUAGGAAGAAGAGAAGAGGGGAAGAGGGAGGUGGAGGACAGAAUAAGAGGGAAGAGGAGAAAGGCGGAGGGAGGUGCUGGAUAGAAUAGGAAGAAGAGAAGAGGGGAAGAGGGAGGUGGAGGACAGAAUAGGCGGUGCUGGUUUCAAAAAGGCCCACACUUCUGAAGGAGGAUCUCAGUUGCAUUGCCUUGAUUACCUGAGUCCUCCACUGAGGGAGUUUGAUUAACCUGAACCGUGGUGCACCGGGCUUUGUCCCGUGACGUGAACAGAUAAAAGGGGGAAAGGAGGGGCAUCUUUCUUAACUCUACGUGCAUAACUUUCGUCACUUUUAUUGAAAGUGAGGCCCAGGAGGCAGCCUCUUCCAAAACGAAUGCAAUCACUUUUCACCCAUGUUAACAUCAGUUUCCGUUAAUUUGCAAGUGGCUGAAUCUCAACAGAGAAACCAUCCGAGCGAGGAAAACGCCCCUCUGUCUCAGGAUGUGUAGCCCAUGUGUCUGAUGCCGUCUGGACCAAAAUAGAAUAUAUAACAUGUUGCUGCCGUAGCAGUUGAUUGAUACCAGCAAGCAUUUAGCCUCUCUUGAUAAAAACGAUAUAACAUAAUUAGCUAAUCAGCGUUGAGCUGAAAUGUGGGUUGUCCUGGUGCAGCAAAACAGCCCCAAGGGAUACACCAAUCAAAUCACAUCCUAAGAAAAAGGAGCCAGGUGCCUGAUAACUGCAUAUUCUACACAGCUCCAGCUGAAGCGCUUAGGGGGCUGGGACCAGCCUCUGCGCCAACAAUCAACGAUAGGCUGGGUGAGUCUAAACCACACCCAGUCUCUACUCUGACAGGCCGGCUCGGAAGCAGGAACUUUUUCUGUCAGAGUAUAUUUAUAAUAUGUUUGUCAAGAACAAGUUAGUUCUCUGUUUGCCCUGCGAGGUGGGCCAGAGAGCCCGUAUAUAUGAAAAUUGCAUUUUCCAAUUAUUGCUUAGCUAAUAAAAAAUACAUAGCAUACAA